rnacentral:rRNA from 1 species
UGGGGAAUAUUGGACAAUGGGCGAAAGCCUGAUCCAGCCAUGCCGCGUGUGUGAAGAAGGUCUUCGGAUUGUAAAGCACUUUAAGUUGGGAGGAAGGGCAGUAAGCGAAUACCUUGCUGUUUUGACGUUACCGACAGAAUAAGCACCGGCUAACUCUGUGCCAGCAGCCGCGGUAAUACAGAGGGUGGAGGCGUUAAUCGGAAUUACUGGGCGUAAAGCGCGCGUAGGUGGUUCGUUAAGUUGAAUGUGAAAGCCCCGGGCUCAACCUGGGAACUGCAUCCAAAACUGGCGAGCUAGAGGAGGGCAGAGGGUGGUGGAAUUUCCUGUGUAGCGGUGAAAUGCGUAGAUAUAGGAAGGAACACCAGUGGCGAAGGCGACCACCUGGGCUCAUACUGACACUGAGGUGCGAAAGCGUGGGGAGCAAACAGG